rnacentral:rRNA from 1 species
UACGUAGGGUGCAAGCGUUGUCCGGAAUUAUUGGGCGUAAAGAGCUCGUAGGCGGUUUGUCGCGUCUGCUGUGAAAACUCAGGGCUUAACUCUGAGCUUGCAGUGGGUACGGGCAGACUAGAGUGCGGUAGGGGAGACUGGAAUUCCUGGUGUAGCGGUGAAAUGCGCAGAUAUCAGGAAGGAACACCCGUGGCGAAGGCCGGUUCUCUGGGACGGUACUGACGCUGGAGACGCGAAA